GCGCGCUCCGGGCCUGGGGACGGUGGGGACUUGGGGCCACCUGCCCCGCUGUGGGGCUCCCCGUGUGCCCAGCUCGCGUCCUGCCCCGAAGGAGGGCUGGCGCUCGGGGGCUUUUCCCCAGCUCUGCCCCGACUCGCUGCCCGCCCUUGGGCGCAUCGCGGGACGCCCUGGCCGUGCUCUGCGUUUUCCCUCCUCCCCGGAGCAGCCCAGCCGCUUCUCUCUCCUGCCUGCUGCUUUCUGGGAUUUAAUCUGGGCGUGGGAUUGUUAUUUUUUGGGUUCCCAAGGAUGCCGCCGCGCAGGCGGCGGGGACAGCUGACUGCAGCAGCUGUGGGGUAGCGUGCGGCAGAGGGAGAGGGAUGGGUGUGGGAGGGAAGGAGGUGUACUGUGAGCAAUGACCCCUCGCUGCUCCCGGUUUGCGUCCAGGCUGGAGUCCCUGGUGGAUAACAACGCACCAGCGCUGACAGGAGCUUUUCCCAUGGUUUACUUCCUGCUGGAGCUUCUCUGGUGCCUAGGAGAAGGGCUGAGCUCUAGCUGCAGCCUUUCUUGAGGGGUUAGGGGAAAAUAGAUGUAACCUUUCUUGUCUCCUUGUUUUCAUGCAAUGUGAAGGGAGCAAAUAUCCCUGAGACGUCUGCUCCUCCAGCAAAUGUGGCUGAGAUUGGGCAAUGGGUUAAAAUGUUACUGGGGGAAGGGACUCUCCCACGCGCACACACGCAUACUCAAAGCAGGAUCGAAUAAGCAUCGUUUCCAUAGGAAAACAGGCUAAAUAUAACCAGCAUCCGUCCCUGCCACCGAGGAGGUCUUCCAUGUGCAGCACUGGCCCAGCUGGAGAAGUCCAUAGUGGGGAUUUGUCCUGUUGUGAGACGGGCCUACCUGAGAGCUGUCGACGUGAAGAUCCUGCAGCAGCUGGUGGUGGUGAACGAGGGCAUCGAGGCAGUGAAAUGGCUGCUGGAGGAGAAGAGGACGCUGACCAGCCGCUGCCGCCNNNNNNNNNNNNNNNNNNNNNNNNNNNNNNNNNNNNNNNNAAUGACAGGCGGCACAGCAUCUCCACCGGCAGCUCCCUGGACACACGGGCUGAUGACAUGGAUGAGUAUUCCCAGAACGCUGCCGAGCCUGUCACAGCAUCCGCACCAGGCAGAGCCCUGGCCAGGGCAGAGCAGGACUGGGCCAGGAUUGACCUCGACCGGGGCUUACCUGCAAAGCAAGAGAAGGGCAAAGUGGAGCAUGAGUGGCCCCAUGCAGACCACCUGCUUGCUGGGCUGCCCCAGGAUCAGAGUUGUCUGGACCAGCAACGGUUUGCUAAGGAGCCCCAAGUGGCCAAUGGCUAUUUGGGCAAGCAGCCCUCCUCUCUGGAACCAGGCAAAGACACCAAACUGCCACCAGGGGCUGGGGAAAGGAUGGGGAAGGGGAUCCCAGGUGGGAAGGCUCGGAAAGCUGAAGCUGACUUAGAGAACUGCAAAUUCAACAGCAAAGCGCACCUGGAAUAUGACGCCCACUGGCGCUGGCUCCAGUCUCAGGAUGAUGUGACGUUCUUGUAGCCUAUGGCUUCACGUUUUCCCAGUCCAGCUCUGCCAACCAUCUGCUCUGCUUCAUGUGUUUCUGCUUGGGAGAGUGGUAUGGCUAGGGAGCGGGAGAUGGGCUGGCUUGGCUGUGUCGUGCUGUCCCUCUGACCCCUCUGGCAGUGUUUGGUGAUACAGCACCAGGGGCUUGGGGUGGGGUGCCCACCCCGUGGCAAAUUCCCUGGGAGAGGCAGGGCAAGGUGGGUCCCUGUAAGUUUAAUCCUUUGCUACAGGGUGAUGCUUGCAUGUAGCUGGUCCCAUGAGGGGACCUGGUGGCUGGUCACUCCUCCAUUGUCCUUGAAGAGGGACAUUUGCUUGAGCUGGCAGUGAAGGGUUGGUGGAGGACACCUGGGAAGACAGGACUCCUGGGUUCUCUCCUUGGCUCUGCCUCAGUCCUCUCUUCCUCAGCCGCUCAUCUGCAAAAACUGGGGACCCUUCCCCAAACCCACUACCCAGACAGGACAGGAGAUGCUCCCACACAUCCACAGCUUCGUGGCACCAGCCUGCUUGAUGCAAUCUGUGGGGCAGGACUGUGAGCAGAGUGCUCUGAGCAUCUCUAUGGGACAGGCUCAUCUCCAACAUCUCUUUUAAGGCCAGUGUCUAUCAAGGGUGAUUACACAUGAGAAGAGCAGAGCACUUGGUGGGAGAUGGAGAUCCAGUUUUCCUCUUUUGUUUUUGGACCUUGUGACCAAAACACAAGGAGACCCCAGAUGAGCAGUGCUGGUCUUGAUAAAGUGGAAGUGUAUGGACAGCCUGGCAGAGUCUGUGGGGUUCAAACUACUGUUGAAAGUCUUGUGCUUUCCCCUGGUACAGCAUGAUGGAGGCGAUGGCCGGGAUUCUCCAUCUGUGUGCUGAAUGGUGGCAGGUCCCUGCAGCCAGCCAGCAACCAGAAACAUGAGGUUCUUCUGCAGGGGUGGAUUUACUAUGACCCUGCUCUAGAGACAUCUCUCCUUUUAGCCUUGGCUUCUUCCUGUGCCUUUUACCAUCCACGUGCUAUGCUUUCCAGCACACCCUCUCGCUAUCUUAUAGAGCAUGGCUUACAACUGGAGCUGUGUUAGCUUGGCAGAAACCGCUCCCUGUAAACAAGGAUACAGGGAAGGACCUUGGCAUCCUGUAGCCUCCGCUUCGAGGAGAGGGGCUCUUCCACCUGCACAGCCGUUGGGAGACGAGCCUGGAGUGCCCUGGCUUUACUACCUGUGAGUGCAUCUGCUCCUGGCUGAGCAUGGAGACAGCCUCUUUCGGGGCUUGGUGCUGUUGUUCCCCUCCGUCUGUGAAUCCCAGCCUGACUCUUUCCUCAUUGUGGUGAUGGAAGUUGGGAUAAUGUCUCCUGAAGUCACUGGGAAACCAAGAGAGGGGGGAAGACGUUGUGAAUGUUUCUAGAGCAGAAGUAGUAUGGGCUGGACGUAUUUAGGAAGGUGGUUGGGGGCACGCUGGGGUCUGCCAGAGUUCAGCCUUGCUCCUCUGAAGCGGCAUCUUCAGUGGGACUCCCCUCCUUGCUGAGUCUUGUGAGCACCCUCCUUCCCCACAGCAGCAGGGGUGAUCCUCAGGGCUCUCCUGGGUGGACACGGAGAGCUUUUUGCAUUCAUGGCCAAGAGCAGGGCAAAACUCAAAUUCUCGGAGAUGGUGUCUGUCAAGGUCCUGGGGGAAUCCCAACAAACCAGAGGUGGGCUGCCCUACGCAAGCGCAUCCCAUCUGCCUGCCCUUGAGUAGCUGCGCUUGGCUUGUGAUCAUCUGUAAGCACCUUAUAGCUUCCUGAAUAGGUGGCCAUGCCACUGCCAGCUGAGCCACUGCCCUCGAGCUGUCUGUCCCCGGCUUUUCUUUAGCCCCGCGUGCAAUGAAUCAACUGUGGGUCCCGGGGGAGAUUGGGUAAGUCCUCCAACGCUAUUGAAAACCAUUGUCAACAAAAAUAGCUGGCUUAAUAAAUGGUAGCGUUUCUGCA
rnacentral:lncRNA from 1 species